rnacentral:rRNA from 1 species
CCUAUUCGAAGGGAUAGGGUCGGUUCGGCCGGGUUUCACACAGGUGUUGCAUGGCUGUCGUCAGCUCGUGUCGUGAGAUGUUGGGUUAAGUCCCGCAACGAGCGCAACCCUCAUCCUUAGUUACCAUCAGGUAAUGCUGGGGACUUUAAGGAGACUGCCAGUGAUAAACUGGAGGAAGGUGGGGAUGAUGUCAAGUCAUCAUGGCCCUUAUGGAGUGGGCUACACACGUGCUACAAUGGUGGCUACAAUGGGCUGCAAAGUCGCGAGGCUAAGCCAAUCCCUUAAAAGCCAUCUCAGUUCGGAUUGUACUCUGCAACUCGAGUGCAUGAAGUUGGAAUCGCUAGUAAUCGUGGAUCAGCACGCCACGGUGAAUACGUUCUCGGGUCUUGUACACACUGCCCGUCACGCCAUGGGAAUUGGUUUCACUCGAAG